CGGAUAGACUUGCAUUGGGACGAGUACGAUGUUACUGCAAGUUUCAUAAAGUGAGGCGUUUUAUCUGUGUAUAGUGAUGAUGAAUGAUAAAUCGCCUCGGUUUACCGCCACUCCGGGAACAUCGCGUCGCUUACAAUUGUUAUAAGAGUGGCCUAUUAAUUUCUCUAUUAUUUAUGGGGCCAUAACGCCGCGGUGUAGACGUAGAGUACAGCCGGCGUGCGGUCAUUGUCGCGACAACCGAGAGCGAUAAUGACGAGAUAACCGAACAGGUAAUGUGGGUUACCUAAACUAACCUAACUAGCGAAAACAUCCUUACGCAGA